UACGGGGGGGGCAAGCGUUGUUCGGAAUUACUGGGCGUAAAGGGCUCGUAGGUGGCCAACUAAGUCAGACGUGAAAUCCCUCAGCUUAACUGGGGAACUGCGUCUGAUACUGGAUGGCUUGAGUUUGGGAGAGGGAUGCGGAAUUCCAGGUGUAGCGGUGAAAUGCGUAGAUAUCUGGAGGAACACCGGUGGCGAAGGCGGCAUCCUGGACCAACACUGACACUGAGGAGCGAAAGCGUGGGGAUCAAACAGG
rnacentral:rRNA from 1 species